GCAAGUCGAGCGCACCCUUCGGGGCGAGCGGCGGACGGGUUAGUAACGCGUGGGAACAUACCCUUUUCUACGGAAUAGCCUCGGGAAACUGAGAGUAAUACCGUAUACGCCCUUCGGGGGAAAGAUUUAUCGGAGAAGGAUUAGCCCGCGUUGGAUUAGGUAGUUGGUGGGGUAAUGGCCCACCAAGCCGACGAUCCAUAGCUGGUUUGAGAGGAUGAUC
rnacentral:rRNA from 1 species